CUUUCUGUGCAGCAGACAGAGGCUUCUUUGGAUCAGCGGUAUUCAUGAACGCGAACUCGGCAACACGCUUCCCUUCCUUGUCUGCCAUAUUUGAUUUUGAACUAUCCACAGCGACCUCCGGUGGUCGACUUGCAAGGUAAAUGGACUGCAUUUAUACAGCGCUUUUAUCCAAAGCGCUUUACAAUUGAUGCCUCUCAUUCACCCAUUCACCCAUUCACACACACACUCACCCGCCAACG